GGGCCAAGGCGAAGCCCAGCAGCUGCAAGCCCGAGUUGGCCAUCGCUCGAGAGGAGCCCAGAGACAGAGCCAAGCGCCGAAAGAAAGAGCCACAGGUCCCGGAGCCAGAGGGAGACGCUUACCUGGGCGCCAGUGGGGAAAAAGAAGAGCUUCCAGGAAUAGAUGAGCGGCUGCUAAAAUGGUCUGAAAUGAUGGAACCGGACAUCUUGACCUCUCCUCUGAAACAGAAGGAAAUGAAUACAAUUGAGGAAGAAUGGCUCUCUGUACAUGAGUUUUGUAAGAAUAGAUGGAAAUAAAGUUUAGGUAGAGUAAUAAGACGAUGGGGAAAUACGACAAAUGUAGAGGCUGUGAAUACUGUUUAGAUAUAGGAUCGUAUAUCAUAAAAUAACAUCAGAACAAUAAUGUUUGAAUACAUAACAGUAGGAAGAAAGGAUGACCACGCAUGAGACUUAGAGGAAGCUUAUCUGAAGUAGUAUUUUAUGUUAGCAUGCAAAUUCAAUUGUAUAUUACUUGAAUGAAAUGGAUACAUACAAUUGUGUUUUGUUGUGUUUGUAAACCACCUCGGACCGGUGGGAGAGGGGGAUAAAAAUAACUUAUUAUUAUUAUUAUUA